AGCGGCGAACGGGUGAGUAAUACUGGGGUAACAUCCCUCCGAGAUUGGGAUAACGCGCCGAAAGGCGUGCUAAUACCGAAUAAGACCACGACCCCUCCGGGGGUUGGGGUCAAAGAUGGCCUCUAUUUAUAAGCUAUCACUGGGAGAUUGGCUCAAGCACCAUUAGCUAGUUGGCGGGGUAACGGCCCACCAAGGCUUCGAUGGUUAGCCGGCCUGAGAGGGUGAUCGGCCACACUGGGACUGAGAUACGGCCCAGACUCCUACGGGAGGCAGCAGUUUGGAAUAUUCCACAAUGGGCGAAAGCCUGAUGGAGCGACACCGCGUGAAGGACGAAGGUCUUCGGAUUGUAAACUUCUUUAGACCUAGAUGAAGGCUUCAGGGUGAAUAAUCCUGAAGUUUGACAGUAUAGGUAGAAUAAGCCACGGCUAACUCUGUGCCAGCAGCCGCGGUAAUACAGAGGUGGCAAACGUUGUCCGGAUUUAUUGGGUGUAAAGGGCAUGUAGGUGGUUUUGUAAGUCAAAGGUGAAAUGGCCCGGCUCAACCAGGUCAUUGCCUUUGA
rnacentral:rRNA from 1 species